CUGAGCGCUGGAGGCUGACGUCAGGGGCCUGAAUUCCUGACUUUGCCUGCACGCAUUUGUCCAUGUAAGGUCUUUUCCUGAGGGAAAAAUGGAGUCACAACCUACUUUCUUCAUUGGCUUAGAGGAGUCAAGCCAAUGUGGACAAAUGAAGACUUGUAUCUGCCCUAUGGGUUUCUGCACACUUUUACCCAGUUUUUAGCAAGUGGCUAUACUGUUAUCACUGCAUUUUGCAAAAUCACAAGAUCAGAUCAUCUGAGUGUAUUUUGGUCUGUUCCAACUCAAUGCCCAAUACCAGUCUGCUGGCUGUUUUGACCUCAGAGCCAGAAAAAUUUUAGCCUCAACCAACAGAUCUGCACAAGAUGAAAGCCUGAAGACACCAAGAAUCGGACCAAAAAUGGAGUAUGACAUACAGCUGUCUUCUGAGAACAGGUUUGACAAGGACCCAAAUGUACAGAGUGGAAUCCAAGGUCCACUACAGAGUAGCAGAUUAUCACUCAUUUGAGGAAAAGUAAGCAGAAAAUAAGAGCAUUAUGGGGUUAAACAAUAUUGAUUAUAUCAGGUAGGAAUCUCAGUUUUAAGGAGUAAAUUGUAGUCUGAUAACAUAAAUAGAAAAUAAUGUAUUAAAAAGAUGUUGAGUAGCUUCUAGAGUCUACGUUGAGACUAAAGAACGUGUUCAGAGACUCUAUCACAGGAAUGAAGCUAUUUAACUGGUCCAGUGGUGACUCUCUUAAUGCAACUGCUGGUUAUGGACGUCACUCGUACCACCAAUAUCCCCAACACUGGGUGCUGCCUCUAAAGCUGUCGUCAUGCUGCCUCUGCAAGCUGCAGGUGUCCAGUUCUGCUCUGCUUCCUUGAACCACCUACAUUGCAAGGAAAACGGGGAAAUUGAGGUUUUGAUGCUUUCAAUUUCUAUGUAGAAGAUAAACUUUGCUUCAUAAGAUGGGAGAUUAUCCAAACAUAGGAAGACAUGAGGUGGGGGAAUGAAUUCAGAUGCUGAGAUUAAAACACAAUGAGAACUGUCCAUCACACUUACAGAACAAGGGAAAAGAAAACAUUACCCUGUUGAAACAAAAGGAGACCUUCUAGAAAGGAUUUGCUAGAGGAACCAGAAGAAAAUGAUAAAUAAAUUGAUGGUAUUAUGUAAAAGCUGAAAGAUAUUGCUUUUGAAAAUAAAUAAAUAAAUAAUAGGCAAAGUCCAACAUAAAAAGACAACUGACAACAUUUUAGAUAACUAAAAUGGGAAAUGAAUAAAAUGGGAAAGUAUUUUAGGAAAUUAAGAUUGCAAUAGCAGAAUUAACAUCCACUUUGAGGGGGCAAGAACCAAAAGCAGGAAUGACCUGGAAAAAUCUAGCCUAUAAUAUAGCAGAUCAAAUUGAGAAUUUCUUCUAGAUUAUAGAGAAAAACCAAAAGAG